ACUGGUUGGGGAAGAUGUUGAAAGCAGUGGACUGGGAUCCAGGGGAUGUAGAUUAAAUUCCUUGUCUCUGCUGCAAACUUCCUGUGUGGCCUGGAGCAAACUGCAGCACUUGGUCUGUGUUUUAGUUUCAGACACGUGUGGGGUGCAGCUAAUGAGCCCUUUCUCCUGCCCUUUGUCUCCUUACUCUUCUUAGAGAUGUUCUUUAGAGAAGGUCUGCAGAGAUUCUCUGGGGCACAUGGAAGUUUCAAUGGGAGGCCCAAAACACAGUAAGGUGUGUUUCUUUAGUGAAGAGAAGCUAGAGAACUUAAUCUCAUAUCACAGGGCUGAAACAAAACUCCUAUUCAGCAAGCCCCCAAAUGGUGGACAUUUGAAAUCUGCAGCAGAAUUUUGCAGCCUGGUUCUCCUUCAGAUGGAAACAUUUUCUUUUAUAAUUCUUUAUCUUCCAAAUGCUGAGCAUGUUCUGAGCCUCAAUUGCUCAAGACUGAAAAUAAGCCCGGGGCAACAUCAAGAAGCUGCAACAUCUCUUUAAGAAGCGAGUAUUAAUAUAUUUCCUGUUAGAUAUAGAAAACAGGAUUAGAGGUGAUAUAAUGACAAAGGCCUCCUACGAAAUGAUGAAUAAAUGUCAUUAAUGCCCCCCAAUGGGCAAACUGGUCUCCCACCUGCAUGUGCAUAUCAGGCUUGUAUUAGGUUGUCAUACAUAAUUGAUAGUGAAAUAAGACCACUUUUCACUGAACAGGAAAAAAGCUCACACUGUAAAUUGGCAGAUUCAUUUGCAAGCAGAUCGAUCGGAUCAAAGAUCGGGAAGUUUACUCCAAAUUGAUUUUAUUACAUGAAUUCUAGGAUUGUGUCACAAAUAUCUUUAUAUUUCAAGUAAAUAAAUAAAUAAAUAAAUACCCAUUAGAAGAAAAUAUUUUCUUUCUCUGAAAGAAGUAUGCAUCUUUUUCUCCUUUAUACCAGUUCAAUUUGGGUAAUGAUGCUAUACGAAAUGCGUCUGUUAACAGUAGUAUCUCUCAAAACAGUGUGGCGUUUACUAAGUAAUGACAUCUAUUGAGGAACAGUACUUCAAGAAAAUGGAAAGGAGAAGCCCAUUCAGACUUGGCCAACCAAAGCAUUUGAAAUUGUACAUUCAUUUAACUGUGAAUUAGGAGCGAGGUGGAUGGGAUGACCUUAUGGAUCUAUUCUGUCUCUAGAUCUUACGUGAUAGGCUGCAGCAGUUGGUGUGGGGCAUGUGGAGGUUUAAGGGAAAGUAAUUUCUGUGUGAUUUUAAACAAUAUACUGGCUGCAGGUAUUUCCCAUGGGCCUCCCCUGGAGUGCACAUAACAGCCAAGCUUUCCCCAUUCCCCAAGCUUUUAAAAAAUGCUGGAUCAUCUCCACAGUGGGCAGCUUAAAAAGCCAGGGGUUAGGCACUGGGUCUCCCACACCAUUGGAAGGGUUCAGUCCUCCCAUCCACAAGAAGUGUCCUUUUCUUUCUCAGACUGUCAAAAUGAAGCUAUGACAAAUCACACAACCAUCAGUGUGCAGGAAUUUGUUUUUGAAAUAGCAUAAACUUGUUGUAGAACAGACUGCAAAACAGCAAAAUUAGAGGCUUAGAGUCAAAUUUCGGCUGGACAAGACCCUGGAAGUUUCUGGCCCAGCCCUGCUGCAGCAGGCUCGGCACUGAUCAGGCUGCUCAGGGCCAUCCCUUGCAGGGCUGAAAAACUGCCAAGAACAGAGCCAGCACAUCCACUCCCACUGUCCCUAUGGGGAAAAGCCUUCUUGUGUCUGGCACAAAACUCUCCUGUUUCAGCACUGCAAAGAGCCUGCCUCCCUCUCCAUGCUCACCUUCUCCAGGCAGGGCCAGUCCCCAUCUCUCAACCUCUCUUCACGGGACCACUGCACCCAUUUCUCCCAAUCUUGUAUGGAGAUGAGCCCAUGCCUGGACACCGGAUCCAGAAAUAGCCCCACCAGCACAGAUCUCAGCACCAUCCCCAGGGAUGUGCCUUGGCCCAGCUACUCCUAAUCCAUUUCCUUGCAGAGUUGUUCACAUAGAUGUUCCAGGAGACUGUUUUACUUCUCCUUGAAUGUCACAAGACUGCUGGUGGUUCAUCCCCCCAGCCCAUCUGGAUCCUGAGGUGAAGAGCCAUGCUGUUGUUACUCCUGAAAUAAUUAUACCAAUGUAUACAUGAUUUGGAAGCCUUUCAGUUCAUUUCUGACAGGAUCUCCAGGGUCAGACAAAUUUCUGAAGUGAAGUUGGCAAGCAGUGGCUGAGAAGUAGACCAGAAAAUUUCCCACAGAAAUUCACUUGCCAUGUUUUUGAUUUAUAUUGUUAUUUUGUAAGUGGCACUUUUUUGACGUUAAAAAAUAAACAAGUUAAGCAAUGUAGCCCAAUACAUACUUAGAAGAAAAAAAUGAAAUGAAUGCUGAGAACCUGCGUACUUAAUUUCUGUGGCAUGACCUCAAUUUUGGGUUGACCUGGAGUUUUUCAAAAGAAAAUAGAAAUACACAGCAAUGAUUCUUUUUCUAAUGGAAAUAUAUUGUUUUUCAGUAAUGAGAUCCAGAAUGGAAUUUCUAGUCUGAACCGGAACAAAGGAGCUGUACCUCAGAAUAAUCCCUGGCUAGGGCCCACUCUAGGGGCAGGAGAGUCUCAAGUCCUGAUUUGCUCCGCUCACAAUUUGCCUCCUGCCUCCCCUUGGGUCCCUAAAGGAUUGCUCUACUUAGUUUCCAAAACAGUUUUUUUUGUAACACUUUGAUUUUAUUCCAACACAGAAUGAAAAUAAGUUUCAAAACCUCAACAAUUUUUGUUAAACUGAAUUUUCCCAGCCAAACCUACCAUGCCUUAUUACUGUUACAAAUCCCCCCAAGCAAUCACAGAAUAAUCGGAAAGGACCACUGCAUCCAUAAAAAUCCCAAAUCGAAACCAAAGUGUAGAAAGAAGAGAUACAGCACAUCAGGAGGUCAGUGUUUGUGUGGCCAACCCAUGCUGGCAUUAUACUGCAGGGACAGGGAUGAUGGUUAUAGCUUAAGGCUCCACAGGGGUAAUCCAACCUGGUCUGUCUGAGGGGAACAGAUCCGAGUUGUGGAACCUCCCACAUGCUGUUCCCCACACAGGCAAUUGCUGCUUGUGCACACAGCCAUCUGUCUCCACAUCCCCUUCUCUGCUUGGCAGCCACCUCCUUCUCUGAAUUUCCCCACCAAAACAUAGCAGCCCUCAAACAUCCCUGUGGCAGUAGCUGCUGCUGCCAGUGUUACCCUUCUGCUUGCUUGCCAGGAGGAUUUUGGACAGGUAAGCAAGAAAGAUGGAAAGGAAGCAUAUUUGAGCAUACAUAAUUCAGCCCUUCUUGCCUCAGCUGGUCACAAACCAGAGAGGAGACAAGCUUGUUCCCUGCCUGAUUCUCCAUCCUUCAUUUUCUAGAGUUCACUAGGUAUAUCCCACAACCUUUGUUUGACCUGCAGGCAGUUAGAAUGAUCAUAAGAAUCAUAGAAUCAUCAAGGUUGAAAAGAUCUCCAAGAUCAUCCAGUCCAACUAUCCACCUAUCACCAAUGUUUCGCACUAAACCAUGUCCCUCAGUACGACAUCAAAAUGUUUCUUGAACACCUCCAGGGUCAAUGACUCCA